rnacentral:lncRNA from 1 species
AAACAACUUAAAAUACCUAAAUUCAAUUACUAGAAUUAGUAUGUAUGACCGAUCGUCUCUAGAGCAAGUGGCAAAGGGCUUGAUGGUUGGUACCCGAGACCCAAGUUCGAAUCCUAGUUGAUUCACAUUUCUAGCUAAGUUUAUUUCUAAAUGAAAUAAACGAAAUGGAUAGCGUGCUACCUAUCUCUGAAAAAAAAAAGAAAAGAAAAAGAAUUAGUAUGUUUGUCACAUAUAACCCCCCCUUAUUCUUCUACAUUGUAUAAUGUGGAACACCUGUUUUAAACUAUGACGUCUUAAUCAGAGCUACAAUAAAUAUAACCUAAAAUUAUCAGACGAUGUAAGGCCCACCUUCAUUACAUUUUUCACUAGUUUACCAAUUCUGAUACUAACUGAAUGAUUCGGACCGCUAGUACUAAUAAUUAUUGAGUCUAAUCAAUCAACUCAAAAUACUUAAAUCAUAUUAUUUGUUUAGCAUCUCUCUCGCAUAUGAACCACUUACACUCUCCCAUGUUUUUUGAUAAAGAAUUCUUUUUGUUGAAAGAAAUAGGUAGCACGCUAGCUACCUGCUUCGUUUAUUUCAUUUAAAAAUAAACUUAAGUAGAAAUGUGAAUCAAUUAGAAUUCAAACUUGGGACUCGGAUACCAACCACCAAACCGUUUGCCACUUGCUUUAGGGACAGUCGAUGAUAGAGAAUUUUUAAGGUGUAACAAACAGUAUCGGACGAUGUUAUUUUAUAAAAUUUUUAUACGUUAAAUAAAUAUAUAGAACUAUAUUUAUUAAAGG